rnacentral:misc_RNA from 1 species
GGGAUUAAAAAAAAAAAAAUCAGAAACCAAACCGAACCAAUAUAUUAUAUAUUUACAUGCACAUGUGUCUCUACCAUACUCGUGGAAUAAUGGUUUAAGGCUUAAGAGCCUAAUCUUGCAGCCCACCUAUUGUAUGUUUUUCCCUCUUUUUGUUAAAGUAGUCAUCCUAGCCGUUCAUUCAAAAUAAAAUGAUCUCAACCAUUAAACUCAUCCUAUAUAUAUUUCUCUUCUUCUCUUUUUAACUAACCCUAGAAAUGGAUUUGCUACCCCUUCUCCUUUUCUCCCUCUCCAUCUGCACCUCCUCCUCCUCCUCCCCCUCAUUCUGUUACAGUUUCAACAAUUCCAAAGGUUGGUGGAGUUGGAAUUCCUACACCACCAACUCCACCUCCACCUUUGGGGGGUACUACACCUCCUCCUCCUCCACCACCACUAGCUGCUGCUCCUCCCAUCAUCUGGGGUUGCCCCGAAGUUUCCCCUCGAGAAGAGACCAUGGGCCUCUUAAGUUGAGAACUCAUGUAAACAUCAUCUCUUGACCUCUUCAUCUCGUUCUAUAACUAACCAAAAUCUCUCUCUCUCUCUCUCCCUUCAACAACAAAUCAUCAUGCUCUUGAAACUUCAAUUAAACCAAAAGAAAACCUUUCAAGGAGGGAAUGGUAAUUAAAGGAGGAAGUGGUUUUCUUUUAUUUUCUUUUUCUUUUUGCUUUUGUUUUCUUAAUUUUGCUGUGUAGAGAGAAACAGAGACAGAGGAAAGGAUUGCAAAUGCAAUGUUGUUUUAGAAUGGGAGGAUAUAUAUGGGUGGGCUUUCU